GUUAACCCGUGGCUCUCGCUACUCGCCUGGCCCCGACUGAACCGUGGGGUCUGGCAUGCGUGUGGCCACGGAGAGAAACACCCGUGAAAGGGGGGAGGAAUCUGCCGACAGGACCCGUGGAGACGUGGGGUCCCCUGUGCGAUGGCUCCUUACAUG